UCGAGAAGUGACAUGGAAAAAUGCGUCUUCAUUGCAGGGUAUCGUGAGACCACCCAUUGAAUGUUGAAAUCCAAAUUCUUCCUCUGAUAUCUGAAGCAAUUCCUGGAACAAACUGUGAUUCAGAGUGCAGUUUGUGGUACUGCUUCACACUUGAAAUAAUUGGUGGUAAACGAAUAAUACCCAUCACUAGAUCUUGUUAUUAAAGGCUUGUUAAUGAAUUGAGAAAGAUAAUGCAGUUAAACUGUUUGAUGAUUUGUCUGACUAUAUAUUUAUAAUAGCUACUGGAAGAUGAUGUUGCGUUCCACCGCAGCUCAGCCUGUCCUUGUGUACAAUUGGUAUCAUGUGAAAUGGGUCCAACUUCACAUGUUUGCUUCAUCAUCAACAAAUAAAAUACUCCUACCCAAUUCCCAGACAAUUAUUGAAUUCCUUCCAAAAUCUGAUGAAACAGCCAAAUUGUGAAUUUAAGUUCCUUCCCCACACGACUUUGACCUGACUACGACUACUUGAGGUCUCAGGUUCAAAACUUAUGUUUUAUAUUUGAUGGACAAAGUUACUUGAUAUUAUUAUUGGUGGGAAAUGACAUA